rnacentral:rRNA from 1 species
AUUGAACGCUGGCGGCAUGCCUUACACAUGCGAGUCGAACGGCAGCACGGGUGCUUGCACCUGGUGGCGAGUGGCGAACGGGUGAGUAAUACAUCGGAACAUGUCCUGUAGUGGGGGAUAGCCCGGCGAAAGCCGGAUUAAUACCGCAUACGAUCUACGGAUGAAAGCGGGGGACCUUCGGGCCUCGCGCUAUAGGGUUGGCCGAUAGCUGAUUAGCUAGUUGGUGGGGUAAAGGCCUACCAAGGCGACGAUCAGUAGCUGGUCUGAGAGGACGACCAGCCACACUGGGACUGAGACACGGCCCAGACUCCUACGGGAGGCAGCAGUGGGGAAUUUUGGUCAAUGGGCGAAAGCCUGAUCCAGCAAUGCCGCGUGUGUGAAGAAGGCCUUCGGGUUGUAAAGCACUUUUGUCCGGAAAGAAAUCCCUGGCUCUAAUACAGUCGGGGGAUGACGGUACCGGAAGAAUAAGCACCGGCUAACUACGUG